UGGCCGGAGGCGAGGAAAGUAUCUGCUCCGCUGAGGGGGGAAAGAAGGAGCUGGAGACAGAUUGUGGGACCGAGCGCGGGCGGGCGGGAGGCGUCGGAGCUACCAGCGGCUCCGCUCUGCUAUAUGAAAUAUGGGAGACGACAGACCGUUUGUGUGCAAUGCCCCGGGCUGUGGACAGAGAUUUACAAACGAGGACCACCUGGCAGUUCACAAACACAAGCACGAGAUGACAUUGAAAUUUGGCCCAGCCCGAACGGACUCAGUCAUCAUUGCAGAUCAAACUCCUACUCCAACUAGAUUCCUGAAGAACUGUGAGGAAGUGGGGCUCUUCAAUGAACUAGCAAGCUCCUUUGAACAUGAAUUCAAGAAAGCUGCAGACGAAGAUGAGAAAAAGGCUUCAGCUGGACCCCUUGACAUGUCUCUGCCUUCCACGCCAGACAUAAAAAUCAAAGAAGAGGAGCCAGUGGAGGUGGACUCCUCCCCUCCUGACAGCCCUGCCUCGAGCCCCUGUUCCCCGGCACAAAAGGAGAAGGAGGUUGCCCCAAAACCUGUUGUGAUCUCUACCCCCACACCCACCAUCGUGCGUCCUGGCUCCCUGCCUCUCCACUUGGGCUAUGAUCCACUUCAUCCAACCCUUCCCUCCCCAACCUCCGUCAUCACGCAGGCUCCACCAUCCAACAGGCAAAUGGGGUCUCCCACGGGCUCCCUCCCUCUCGUCAUGCACCUUGCUAAUGGACAGACCAUGCCAGUGCUGCCAGGGCCUCCGGUGCAGAUGCCUUCUGUCAUAUCGCUGGCCAGACCUAUGUCCAUGGUGCCCAACAUUCCUGGUAUCCCUGGCCCACCAGUUACCAGCAGUGGUUCCAUUUCUCCCUCUGGCCACCCUAUGCCAUCGGAAGCCAAGAUGAGGCUAAAAGCCACCCUAACCCACCAGGUGUCCUCCAUCAAUGGUGGCUGCGGAAUGGUGGUGAGCACUGCCAGCACCAUGGUGACAGCCCGUCCAGAGCAGAGCCAGAUCCUCAUCCAGCACCCUGAUGCCCCAUCCCCUGCCCAGCCACAGGUCUCACCAGCCCAGCCCACACCUAGUACCGGAGGCCGACGGCGGCGCACGGUGGAUGAAGACCCAGAUGAGCGGCGGCAGCGCUUUCUGGAACGCAACCGGGCCGCAGCCUCCCGCUGCCGCCAAAAGCGAAAGCUGUGGGUGUCCUCCCUGGAGAAGAAGGCGGAGGAGCUCACUUCCCAGAACAUUCAGCUGAGUAAUGAAGUCACAUUACUGCGCAAUGAGGUGGCUCAGUUGAAACAGCUACUGUUGGCCCACAAAGACUGCCCCGUCACUGCACUACAGAAGAAGACUCAAGGCUAUCUAGAAAGCCCCAAGGAAAGCUCAGAGCCAACGGGUUCUCCAGCCCCUGUCAUUCAGCACAGCUCAGCAACAGCCCCUAGCAAUGGCCUCAGUGUCCGCUCUGCAGCCGAAGCCGUGGCCACCUCAGUCCUCACUCAGAUGGCCAGCCAAAGGACAGAACUGGGCAUGCCGCUGCAGUCGCAUGUGAUCAUGACCCCACAGUCCCAGUCUGCGGGCAGAUGAUGCCCUCCGGUGGACAGGUCCUCAGCCAGAGCUUGCCCGCCCAAGAGCCACGAGAGAUGUCAUCUUACCGCCUCCAUCUGCCUUGGACAUGGUCACGUGGGGGAAAAAUUGUGUGUUGUGAGUAUGGACAGAGGUGGGGCUUUUCUCUUCAGCCGCAUGGUCGUGUAUGUUUGACACCUGUCCUAGGGGCCUCCCAGCCCCAGAGCCACAUAGAUCAACCCCCAGGGUGGGGUUUCUGAUGCACCCACAGCCAAGGCCCCUCCAGACGGUCGAACAAUGGCCCCUGCUCCGUGCACGUGUACCUGUCUCUUUGAACACUAACCCUUACAAUUCUAGGUGUGGGGUUUUUCUCAGUUCCCUUUCUUCUCACUAAGCCAUGACUGUCAGCUUGUACCUGCUAGAUAGAGGGAGGCUGGAUCUGACAGCGGUCCCCCGCUGACCCAGCCCCAGCCACCCCUAGACUCAGGGCUUUGUCCCCCGGCAGCUGCCUGUUUACCCCUUCCCCCCUUCCUCCACUCAGCUAGAACGUUCCCCUGCGGAGAGCGUCAGACCACGUCUGUUCCAGCUCUUCCUCCCUACCUGCCACCCAAAGGAGAGCAGAAAGCAGCAGAACCCCAAGAGUUCUAGUCCUUUCUCAUCGAUUCCCAGAGCUAUUUGGGUACCUCAUUUUGUCUCUUGACUUGACCGAGGCUAGUGAUGGAGUCAGAAGACCACCUCCCCCACAAAACCUUGGCAACCUCAUCUUGUGGCCUUAAGGAAAGAUACUGCUUGGUAGCACCGAGGGAAUGAGCCCAGGAUCUGAUUGGCUGAUUCCCUCUCCCUCCCUCCCUCCCCCUCCAGACGUCAAUCAUCAGGGCAGCCAGGAACAGCCCAGCUGAAAGCUCCUUCUGUCAGGUUCUUUUACGGUUGGCAGGAGUUCACUGGCCAGAGCGUGCAUGUGGGCGUCUUUGGUCAUCUUUCUGCUCCUGCGCCUCCCGUGCACACCCCACCUCUCCUACCCUUGUGACAUUGGCUCAUGCAUAGCCCUGUGGGAGGCUGUCCCGUAGGGUCUCUGGUGCUCCCCUGCUCAUCCCCCUCUCACACAUCUGUCUCUUGCGAGGAGGGGCGCCCGGCGCCUCCCGGAACUGCUCACUUCUGUUUCACCAGGUUCCUAGCCUAGCCUCUGGGGCUCCCUGAUCCUGCACAACGUCUUCCACUCGCUUCUGUUCUCUGCGCCCAGAUCCAGUGCUUCUCCAUGAUAGAAGCCCCAGGACUCCCAAGCAUGAUAGACAAGGUCCUAAGUGGGUUUUCUUUUUUCUGAAAGAUGUAUUUUUAUUUAUUUGAAAGGUAGAGAGACAGAGAUCUUCCAUUUGCUGGUUCACUCCCCAGAUGGCUGCAACAGCCAGGGCAGGACCAGACCAAAGCCAGGAGCCAGGAACUCUAUCCAUGUCUCCCACGUGGGCGACAGGAGCCUAAGUACCCAGGCCGUCUUCCACUGCCUUCCUAGGUAUGUUAGCAGGGAGCUGGACUGGAGGCGGAGCAGCCAGGAGCUGACCUGGUGUUCUGAUACGGAAUGCUGGCAUUGCGGGCGGCAGCUUAAGUGGCUGUGCCACAGCACCAGCCCCCGAGUGGGUUUUCUUGACUGUAAGAUUGGACGGAGGGAAGGGGAGGAAGGCGCUGUGCAGGCCUCAGCAGGGGAGCCAGGGCCUGGCCCACAGGCAUUGCCUCUCACAAGAGCUGUGCGGCGCGGGGGCCGGCUCACCCCUCUCUUCCCGCUUCAUGAGGGCCGCGCAUCCCCCUCGGGCUCUGCGCCAUGCAGUCUGCACUGUGGACAUCAGGAGCGGUCCCGAGCCAGCGGCCUGUGGGCAGCUGGGUCAGCUUCAGCGGCCCUGCAGCGCCAAGGCCUUCCAGUUGUCCCAGAGCCACCUUCCGCCGUCUGCCCGGCCAAGGGUGCGCUUUCCUCCCGUCCCCUGCCUCCGUGUUCAACAUGCAUGCAGAACGGCCACCUCCUGUCUUGUCUUGUCUGUCCAAAAGUGGCUGCCAUGAGGAAAGGAGAGGGCGCGCCUGGCGCAAGCUCCCCGGCUGGCAGCGAAGACUCGGCAGGCCUGCCCACAGGUGAUGGCCUCCGCGGCAUUUGCUUCAGCUCCCCCUCCUGCUCAGCGCUGCAGCAGAACAAGCCACACCUGGUGGUUUCCUCAUCCCCCACCCCCGGGCACCCUGCAGGAACAGCCUCGAGGGAACCAGCCGGGCAAAUGCCGCGGCAGAUGGUCAGGGCGCAGGCCACCAUCUCCAGGGACCGCGCUUGCCUUUAAAACCCCACAGCUAUGCCUUGCUCAGGGCUCCCUCAGACAGCCGCUCCCUGGGGUGUUCUCGGCUGCAGUCUUGCUUCAUGUUUUACUGUCUCGAUUUCCCACUCGCAGCCUUGCCCGGAAGCUUGACUGAGUUUAUGGCUCCUAAGGAGCCUCCCUAGGCCCUGGACUGUGUUUCCUCCCCCAUCAGUCAGGUGUUUCUGAAGUUCCGAGUCCGCUCGUCCCGCACACAGCCUCCGCGAGUCAGCCCCGCAUGCGACGGCAGACUCGCUCAGAGGCCGUUUUGUGUCUGAGCGCCGGGUUCUGACCCUCCUGACCCCUGAUUUCGCUUUCACCCGUAGGAAGGGAGGUUAUUUCAGGCACCUGAAUGAGGGGCAGCGCCAGAACCAUAGGGCGGAAGGGACAGGGCCCCGGCAGCUCUCCGGGUGCGCCGCAGCUCAACCUGGAGCUUUUCUCACAGGCGAGGGGGCCCUCCCGUCCCUUGCUCCUGCCGCCAGCCCUGUACCGAGGACCCUGUCCUCUCUGGAAGGGCCUCCUUGGCCCUUCCAGAGAGGAGCUGAGCAUGCGGAGUCCUCGGCACCGUUCCAGGUGAGCACGUGGCGUGGAGGGAGGCGCCACAGCCGGGCUCUGCUCGGAGGAGGACUGACAGGGCGUGCCUGCUCUACUCCGUCCCCUGCUGACUGGACACCCCAGCCCUGGCUCCCCUCAGCUGCGCUCGCGGCCAGCCGCCUGUGGCUGUAGCUCCCAGGGGAGCUGGGCUAGCCGCCCCUCACCUUGCUCUUCCUGUAGCUCGGGCCCUGUUCUCAGGGCCCUCGCUACCACCCACCCUGGUGGGUGGACUACUGCCCAUAGCUGUGCGUCGUCUGCAGCCUGAGCCGCCAGGCGGGCACCAAAAAUUCUUCCUCUGGCCUCUGAGGCCCCCUGCACCACCCGGAGAGGCCCCUUAAAGGUGCUAGCCCGAGACAGCGCUGCCCAGCAGAAGUCUCCCUUCUCUCGAAACUUCUUCCCAUGCACAAGUCAUUUUUUUCCAUUAAUACUGUACUUUGCAUACAGAGAAAAGAAAUAUAUUAUUUCUUUUGUUUUUUCAUUUCAUAACCAGUCUGUUUAGAUUCCAGUCCUCCUAACGAUAUCGCACAGGCCUGUGUUGACAUGCUUUAUCUGCUUGCUCUAACUUACAUGGGAGGGUGGGGGGAGUCAGGGCAUGUAGGGAGCCAGACAGGUGAGGGUCCCAGGGCAGAUUAGGGGACCCCCCAUUGCACUACAGCCUCCCACAGCCCUCAACAUCCCUCUCAUAAUGAUGAACUCGUUUUUCCACAUUACUGCUCGCACCCAGGCACUCAGGGUGAUGGGCCAUCAGGGGUGGGUGCAGGUGGCUGCUGACCAAGCCCUGCCCUGAUGACGUCUUCCCUCUCUGAGGUCAGAUCCUACCCUGGAAUGAGCAGAGGCUGGGGAGAGUGGGGCAGGUUGAGGCAGUCCACUGUGGAUGCAGUGUGUAUUGUCGCCGUGAGGGCUCAUUCUAGUUUGGUAAUGGGGAGCUCCGAGCACCAGCGCCGGUGAGCCGUGUGCUGGCCGUAGGCAGCCGUGAGCCCCAGUUGUAUGGACUGUACCUGAGGGCAGCGACCCUCAGAACACACUCCAGGGCCGGCAGCAGCACCCACACCUGGGCACGUGCUCGAGGUACACAUUCCUGGGCCCGCCUGGGACCUGCUGAGGGGAAACUGGUCCCGACGCGGGCACUCCAGCUGACUCCAGUGCACACUAAAGUGCGAGACGCGCCGCCUUCAGGGCACGCUGGGGACUCCGUGUAGGGUGCCGAGGACUCUGAAGCACCAUCCUCCACGGUGUCACUAAUGUGUUCUCCAUUUCCUACAGUCCCUUCCUCCACAUCCAUUACAGCCGCCCCCCACCACCACGCCCCUCGUCUCUGAAUUUAGGUUUGUCUUUCUUCUGGGUUCUCCCUAGAAGCUGUCCCUGCGUCUGUGGCCCGGAGGUGUCCCGUCUCCCCUCGCAGACUGGUCACUGCACGUGUUCUGAGUCCUCAGGCCCAGCCGGCUCGCUGGCGGUCCCUGGGGUCCCCCACACACCUUGCAGGCAGGGAGGAGCAAGCCUCUGGCCCCAGGAGCAGAGGCUGCCACACCCGACGUAGGGCCUGCAGAGUGGCAGCGUGUAUCUAGGGCUGUGUCUCUGUUCAGCUAUAUAUUUUUGACAUGUAGCAAGACCUCUCCAUCUCCCCAAGGACUCGCUCGGGGCUGGGCCUCCGCAGUCUCCGGGCUGGGCUUUGACAGGUGGGAGGACGCAGCGCUGCAGGCUGUUUUGUUACAAAUCGUGUCGCCCUUCCCCCGCCACCCCAUCCAGCAUGACUGAUCCCUGUGAGCAGGCUCUCACGACCUCCCAGGACGGACGGGGCGCGGCAGGGGCUUCACCGGCUGUCCCUGACCGCCCCUCCCUCCCCCUUGCCACUUAGCAGUUACCCCCCCAGCCAUGCCUCCUCCCCCAAACCCGGCCCGACAUAUAUUGUGCCUUAUUUAUGCUGCAAAUACAACAUUAAACUAUCGAGAGAACCACUUCCGCCUGCUGCUUCUCUGCUCUCCUACAAGUCGCGUUGUCCACUACAAGUCACUCUGGGGGUGGGGAUCCCGUUGCCCGCGAUCCUCGUCCCGCCCCCCAUUCCUUCAGACAGGAAGGGCCCCUACUGUUUUGUACAGGGAAGACAGUCUAGAGAAGGCCGAUGGCUUAGUAAAUAACAUGGCAGGACAGGGGGCAAGGGACCAGAUCUGUGGGCGGCCUGGCCAGGCGCGUGCACAACCUGGGAGAGUGACUGUAGGCAGUGGCUUCUUUCGAUGCUUUUUUCGCACCCCACCCCCUCCCCACACUGGCACAGCCUGGGAGUGAGGGCGGCGGCUUGAGGACAAGCAGAGUGCCCAAGCGAAGCGGGCCCUGCGCCCUGCGCCGAGGCUCAGGCCCAGGUGGCGGGCAGCCGCUCACUCACGCUCGCAUCCCUGUGUCUUCCGUUCUGCUUCCUGUCACAAGCGAGAACAAUGAGCCAGGCUGAAGAAUCUGACAAGAGACAGCAGGCGCCUCUGCGCUGUCCCGUUAGGAGCAACAUGGCUUGGGCAGCUGCUUGUGGCUGGGGUCAGGGAGCCUCCCCUGGAAGGCGGGCAAGGCAGUGGUGGUCUCACUGCGUCACGGUCAGGAGCAGGGGUCUCCAGAGAAGGGCCAGAGGCAGCUGCCAAGAGACGGAUGCCGGGCCGGCGCCGUGGCUCACUAGGCUAAUCCUCCACCUUGCGGCACCGGCACACCAGGUUCUAGUCCCAGUCGGGGCGCCGAAUUCUGUCCCGGUUGCCCCUCUUCCAGGACAGCUCUCUGCUGUGGCCCGGGGAGUACAGUGGAGGAUGGCCCAAGUGCUUGGGCCCUGCACCCCAUGGGAGACCAGGAGAAGCACCUGGCUCCUGCCAUCGGAUCAGCGCACCGGCCGCGUCAGCCAUUGGAGGGUGAACCAAUGGCAAAGGAAGACCUUUCUCUCUCUCUCUCACUGUCCACUCUGCCUGUCAAAAAAAAAAAAAAAAAGACGGAUGCCGAUGCCGACGCCGAGAGGGCAAGGUUCAGGAGGUGGGACAGUGUGUGUGCCAAGCUGGAAUAAUCGGCCCGUCCAGCUCUCCCCGAGGGCCUCCUGGCCUGGCCCCUUCAUGCGUGCAGUCUCGCUCAGACCCGCACACCACUGGUGGCAGAGAAAUGCUGGGGAGAAGCAUGGGGCGGUGAGUGAGCACCGAGUGCCCACGCCGCGCCGUGCCACGUGGGAGGCCAGGAUACCUCAUUUGCUGAUGAGGAACCGAGGGUCAGAUAGUCACAGCACAGGGCGAGAGCGAGGGUUAAAACAGGGUUCCAUCUGACCCAGACCCACAUUCUCACCCCUGUGUGAGGCGGGCGCCCCUUCCCACCAACUGGCUGUGCUGUCUCCCACAGACUGGGUGCAGUAACAAGUUAGGAUGAUGACGCCUGCCUGUCAGGAUGGGGACCACACGGGACAGAGCUCACACAGGUGCAGCCAGGCUUUCUGCAGAAACACAGGAUCUAGAACAUCAAGAUCAAAACCUCCAGUCUCUGCCUCUAAAGUAUAAGUUGGUUCCUAGAUGCCUUGCUUUCAAGAGAGGGGCAUUUGCAUUGAGCGAGGAAGACGGUGGAGUGGAUUCAAACGUGAGAGAGGAAAGCCCUCAAAGAGGAAGCGCCCUGGCCGGAGCCACAGGAGGCGGCAGGCGUCCCCGCACUAGCGUGCACCUGCUGGAGACGGGCUCAGGAGCUGGCAAAUGUGAGAGUGAUGAUUCCAGCUUAACCUUCCAAGUGGCACACAGGGUGUGAUCCUGACGCCUGUCUCUUACCCUGGCCAGUUCUUUCCCUGGGACUGAAGGACACCGUACCCAGCCCCUCCAACAGGGGUUGGAAGAGCUGGGAGGUGAUCGAGUGAAGCUCUCCAACCUGUUGAGGGAUUGGGGGUUCUCACAAGGCCCCUCAGGGCCCGGCUGUGACAAAGCGUCUGCAAUUAAUGAUGCGUCU